rnacentral:rRNA from 14 species
UGGUGCCUUCGGGAACUCAGUGACAGGUGCUGCAUGGCUGUCGUCAGCUCGUGUCGUGAGAUGUUGGGUUAAGUCCCGCAACGAGCGCAACCCCCAUCUGGAGCCGCUAGGCUGCAGAGACUGCCAAAUACCGAACUUCGGUUCGGAGCUGGAGGAAGGUGGGGAUGACGUCAAGUCAUCAUGCCCCUUAUGCCCUGGGCUACACACGUGCUACAAUGGUCGGGUCAAUGGUUGGCAGGAAACACGUCACCUGUGCCUUUCCGCGAGGGAAGGUUUCCCUAAACCCGGCCCCACUUCGGAUCGUGGGCUGCAACUCGCCCACGUGAAGCCGGAAUCGCUAGUAAUCGCCGGUCAGCAAUACGGCGGUGAAUACGUUCCCGAGCCUUGUACACACCGCCCGUCACGCCACGGGAGUUGGCCUUUCCCGAAGCUUUCGUUGAGAAGGUGAAGGAAGGGCUGGUAACUGGGGUGAAGUCGAAACAAGGUAGCUGUACUGG